rnacentral:rRNA from 1 species
UACGAAGGGGGCGAGCGUUGUUCGGAUUUACUGGGCGUAAAGGGCGCGCAGGCGGCGCAUUUUGUCAGGCGUGAAAGCCCCGGGCUUAACCUGGGAACUGCGUUUGAUACGGAUGGGCUAGAGUUCGGGAGAGGAGAGUGGAAUUCCCAGUGUAGAGGUGAAAUUCGUAGAUAUUGGGAAGAACACCGGUGGCGAAGGCGGCUCUCUGGACCGAGACUGACGCUGAGGCGCGAAAGCCAGGGGAGCAAACGGG